rnacentral:rRNA from 1 species
GACGAACGCUGGCGGCGUGCUUAACACAUGCAAGUCGAACGGAAAGGCCCUGCUUUUGUGGGGUGCUCGAGUGGCGAACGGGUGAGUAACACGUGAGUAACCUGCCCUUGACUUUGGGAUAACUUCAGGAAACUGGGGCUAAUACCGGAUAGGAGCUCCUGCUGCAUGGUGGGGGUUGGAAAGUUUCGGCGGUUGGGGAUGGACUCGCGGCUUAUCAGCUUGUUGGUGGGGUAGUGGCUUACCAAGGCUUUGACGGGUAGCCGGCCUGAGAGGGUGACCGGCCACAUGGGGACUGAGAUACGGCCCAGACGCCUACGGGAGGCAGCAGUGGGGAAUAUUGCACAAUGGGCGGAAGCCUGAUGCAGCAACGCCGCGUGCGGGAUGACGGCCUUCGGGUUGUAAACCGCUUUCGCCUGUGACGAAGCGUGAGUGACGGUAAUGGGGAAAGAAGCACCGGCGAACUACGU